rnacentral:tRNA from 1 species
CAGGUAUGGCGAAAUUGGUAGACGCGCUAGACUUAGGAUCUAGUGGAGUGAUCCGUGCGGGUUCAAGUCCCUCUACCUGC